rnacentral:lncRNA from 1 species
ACUCCCGGGGCCCUCCUGUCCAGUGCCUUGGCCACUGACCUCUCACAGAUCACCAACAACCUGUAUAUUCAAGGGGUGGCCCAGAAACACGCUCAUGCUGUCCGGUAAUCGUAUCACCACUGUCGUCAAUGUCUCAGUGGGGGCGUUGGACGCCAUCUUCCAGUGGCGUUCAGGAUGCUCAGGUGCCUGUGGCCGCCGCGCGCGUCUCGCACUUGCGCAACUUGCUGGGCCACAUCGCGGAUCACAUUCAUGGUCGCGAGGCAGGGCUGCCCCUCUCUGCCCUCUCCCAGGGAAGUAGCAGCUGCGCCCCUGCCGGACACCCAUCAGCCUGACAAUGGCUUUGGGGAGCCCUGCAUCUACCAGGAGUUCCAGUGGUUUGGCAAGAAUAUUGCGCACAUAGUCAGCUCCCUGAGGGGUGGUGUGAUCCCUGAGGUCCAUGAGAAGGAGGUCGGUUUAA